rnacentral:rRNA from 1 species
UACGUAGGGGGCUAGCGUUGUCCGGAAUCAUUGGGCGUAAAGCGCGUGUAGGCGGCCCGGUAAGUCCGCUGUGAAAGUCGGGGGCUCAACCCUCGAAAGCCGGUGGAUACUGUCGGGCUAGAGUACGGAAGAGGCGAGUGGAAUUCCUGGUGUAGCGGUGAAAUGCGCAGAUAUCAGGAGGAACACCCAUUGCGAAGGCAGCUCGCUGGGACGUUACUGACGCUGAGGAGCGAAAGCGUGGGGAGCGAACAGG